rnacentral:misc_RNA from 1 species
GAUGAAGAACGUAGCGAAAUGCGAUAAGUAAUGUGAAUUGCAGAAUUCAGUGAAUCAUCGAAUCUUUGAACGCACAUUGCGCCCCCUGGUAUUCCGGGGGGCAUGCCUGUCCGAGCGUCAUUGCUGCCCUCAAGCACGGCUUGUGUGUUGGGCCCCGUCCUCCGAUCCCGGGGGACGGGCCCGAAAGGCAGCGGCGGCACCGCGUCCGGUCCUCGAGCGUAUGGGGCUUUGUCACCCGCUCUGUAGGCCCGGCCGGCGCUUGCCGAUCAACCCAAAUUUUUAUCCAGGUUGACCUCGGAUCAGGUAGGGUUACCCGCUGAACUUAAGCAUAUCAAUAAGCGGAGGA